UACGUACAAGCAGUGGGAGCACGCUUAGGCGUGUGACUGCGUACCUUUUGUAUAAUGGGUCAGCGACUUAUAUUCUGUAGCAAGGUUAACCGAAUAGGGGAGCCGAAGGGAAACCGAGUCUUAACUGGGCGUUAAGUUGCAGGGUAUAGACCCGAAACCCGGUGAUCUAGCCAUGGGCAGGUUGAAGGUUGGGUAACACUAACUGGAGGACCGAACCGACUAAUGUUGAAAAAUUAGCGGAUGACUUGUGGCUGGGGGUGAAAGGCCAAUCAAACCGGGAGAUAGCUGGUUCUCCCCGAAAGCUAUUUAGGUAGCGCCUCGUGAAUUCAUCUCCGGGGGUAGAGCACUGUUUCGGCAAGGGGGUCAUCCCGACUUACCAACCCGAUGCAAACUGCGAAUACCGGAGAAUGUUAUCACGGGAGACACACGGCGGGUGCUAACGUCCGUCGUGAAGAGGGAAACAACCCAGACCGCCAGCUAAGGUCCCAAAGUCAUGGUUAAGUGGGAAACGAUGUGGGAAGGCCCAGACAGCCAGGAUGUUGGCUUAGAAGCAGCCAUCAUUUAAAGAAAGCGUAAUAGCUCACUGGUCGAGUCGGCCUGCGCGGAAGAUGUAACGGGGCUAAACCAUGCACCGAAGCUGCGGCAGCGACGCUUAUGCGUUGUUGGGUAGGGGAGCGUUCUGUAAGCCUGUGAAGGUGUGCUGUGAGGCAUGCUGGAGGUAUCAGAAGUGCGAAUGCUGACAUAAGUAACGAUAAAGCGGGUGAAAAGCCCGCUCGCCGGAAGACCAAGGGUUCCUGUCCAACGUUAAUCGGGGCAGGGUGAGUCGACCCCUAAGGCGAGGCCGAAAGGCGUAGUCGAUGGGAAACAGGUUAAUAUUCCUGUACUUGGUGUUACUGCGAAGGGGGGACGGAGAAGGCUAUGUUGGCCGGGCGACGGUUGUCCCGGUUUAAGCGUGUAGGCUGGUUUUCCAGGCAAAUCCGGAAAAUCAAGGCUGAGGCGUGAUGACGAGGCACUACGGUGCUGAAGCAACAAAUGCCCUGCUUCCAGGAAAAGCCUCUAAGCAUCAGGUAACAUCAAAUCGUACCCCAAACCGACACAGGUGGUCAGGUAGAGAAUACCAAGGCGCUUGAGAGAACUCGGGUGAAGGAACUAGGCAAAAUGGUGCCGUAACUUCGGGAGAAGGCACGCUGAUAUGUAGGUGAAGUCCCUUGCGGAUGGAGC
rnacentral:rRNA from 1 species